CUACGGGCCGCUGCAGUGAGGAAUAUUGCACAAUGGGGGGAACCCUGAUGCAGCAACGCCGCGUGGAGGAUGACGCAUUUCGGUGUGUAAACUCCUUUUAUAUGUCAAGAAAAUGACGGUAGCAUAUGAAUAAGCACCGGCUGACUCCGUGCCAGCAGCCGCGGUAAUACGGAGGGUGCAAGCGUUACUCGGAAUCACUGGGCGUAAAGGACGCGUAGGCGGGUUGGAAAGUCAGGUGUGAAAUCCUACAGCUUAACUGUAGAACUGCACUUGAAGCUUCUAAUCUUGAGUAUGGGAGGGGGAGAUGGAAUUAGUGGUGUAGGGGUAAAAUCCGUAGAUAUCACUAGGAAUACCUAAAGCGAAGGCGAUCUCCUGGAACAUUACUGACGCUAAGGCGUGAAAGCGUGGGGAGCAAACAGGAUUAGAUACCCUUGUAGUC
rnacentral:rRNA from 1 species